CAGCUUGCUGCUUUGCUGACGAGUGGCGGACGGGUGAGUAAUGUCUGGGAAACUGCCUGAUGGAGGGGGAUAACUACUGGAAACGGUAGCUAAUACCGCAUAACGUCGCAAGACCAAAGAGGGGGACCUUCGGGCCUCUUGCCAUCGGAUGUGCCCAGAUGGGAUUAGCUAGUAGGUGGGGUAACGGCUCACCUAGGCGACGAUCCCUAGCUGGUCUGAGAGGAUGACCAGCCACACUGGAACUGAGACACGGUCCAGACUCCUACGGGAGGCAGCAGUGGGGAAUAUUGCACAAUGGGCGCAAGCCUGAUGCAGCCAUGCCGCGUGUAUGAAGAAGGCCUUCGGGUUGUAAAGUACUUUCAGCGGGGAGGAAGGCGAUAAGGUUAAUAACCUUGUCGAUUGACGUUACCCGCAGAAGAA
rnacentral:rRNA from 1 species